rnacentral:rRNA from 1 species
UGAGGAACAUGACUUUCGGCGGGGGAGUAGCCGGCCCCGAACGGCCGGGUAAUACCGCGUACGACCUCUCGGGGACAUCCCCGGUUGGUGAAAGCAGCAAUGCACCGAAAGAGUGCCUCGCGGCCUAUCAGCUAGUUGGUGAGGUAACGGCUCACCAAGGCGACGACGGGUAGCUGGUCCGAGAGGAUGACCAGCCACAUUGGGACUGAGACACCGGCCCAGACCUCCGUACGGGGAGGCAG